rnacentral:ncRNA from 1 species
GGUAAUUAGUACUUGACAGCCAAGAUCUUUGAUUUGAAGAAAAUAGUUAGUAUUUUAACUGGCUGCAAUUUUCAAUACAGGCCCUCAAGCAAUUUCAUCGUGAUGGGGAUAGAUCAUUGCAAUUGUUGGUCUUCAACGAGGAAUUCCUAGUAAGCGCGAGUCAUCAGCUCGCAUUGACUACGUCCCUGCC